rnacentral:rRNA from 1 species
GGGGAAACCCACCUGACAUUCUGCUAUUGUUAUCCAACGGAUAUCGAUAGUGGGGUGAGACAGGUAUCUUAACCCUGAAUACAUAGGGGUUUUGAAGCGAACCCGGGGAACUGAAACUUCUAA